CGUGAACGCUGGCGGUAGGCCUAACACAUGCAAGUCGAACGGCAGCACAGUAAGAGCUUGCUCUUACGGGUGGCGAGUGGCGGACGGGUGAGGAAUACAUCGGAAUCUACUUUUUCGUGGGGGAUAAAGUAGGGAAACUUACGCUAAUACCGCAUACGACCUACGGGUGAAAGCAGGGGAUCUUCGGACCUUGCGCGAUUGAGUGAGCCGAUGUCGGAUUAGCUAGUUGGCGGGGUAAAGGCCCACCAAGGCGACGAUCCGUAGCUGGUCUGAGAGGAUGAUCAGCCACACUGGAACUGAGACACGGUCCAGACUCCUACGGGAGGCAGCAGUGGGGAAUAUUGGACAAUGGGCGCAAGCCUGAUCCAGCCAUACCGCGUGGGUGAAGAAGGCCUUCGGGUUUUAAAGCCCUUUUGUUUGGAAAGAAAAGCAGCAGGUUAAUACCCCGCUGUUCUGACGGUACCCAAAGAAUAAGCACCGGCUAACUUCGUG
rnacentral:rRNA from 1 species